UACGUAGGCAGCAAGCGUUGUCCGGAAUUAUUGGGCGUAAAGAGCUCGUAGGCGGUCUGUCGCGUCGGCUGUGAAAACCCGGAGCUCAACUCCGGGCCUGCAGUCGAUACGGGCAGACUGGAGUUCGGCAGGGGAGACUGGAAUUCCUGGUGUAGCGGUGAAAUGCGCAGAUAUCAGGAGGAACACCGGUGGCGAAGGCGGGUCUCUGGGCCGAUACUGACGCUGAGGAGCGAAAGCGUGGGGAGCGAACAGG
rnacentral:rRNA from 1 species